CCUACGGGUGGCAGCAGUGGGGGAUAUUGCACAAUGGGGGAAACCCUGAUGCAGCGACGCCGCGUGGGUGAAGAAGCGCCUCGGCGCGUAAAGCUCUGUCAGCAGGGAAGAAAAUGACGGUACCUGAUGAAGAAGCCCCGGCUAACUACGUGCCAGCAGCCGCGGUAAUACGUAGGGGGCAAGCGUUAUCCGGAUUUACUGGGUGUAAAGGGGGCGCAGACGGCGAUGCAAGCCAGGUGUGAAAGCCCGGGGCCCAACCCCGGGACUGCUCUGGAAACUGCGUGGCUAGAGUGCAGGAGAGGCAGGCGGAAUUCCUGGUGUAGCGGUGAAAUGCGUAGAUAUCAGGAGGAACACCAGUGGCGAAGGCGGCCUGCUGGACUGCAACUGACGUUGAGGCCCGAAAGCGUGGGGAGCAAACAGGAUUAGAUACCCGGGUAGUC
rnacentral:rRNA from 1 species